AUACGGGGGGUGCAAGCGUUAAUCGGAAUUACUGGGCGUAAAGCGCGCGUAGGCGGUUUGUUAAGUCGGAUGUGAAAUCCCCGGGCUCAACCUGGGAAUUGCAUUCGAUACUGGCAAGCUAGAGUACGGUAGAGGGAAGUGGAAUUUCAGGUGUAGCGGUGAAAUGCGUAGAUAUCUGAAGGAACAUCAGUGGCGAAGGCGACUUCCUGGACCAAUACUGACGCUGAGGUGCGAAAGCGUGGGGAGCAAACAGGAUUAGAAACCCCAGUAGUCC
rnacentral:rRNA from 1 species